UCACACAAAAGAAAUACUAAAUCAGAUAGUCUAGUGAGAGGGCAAAGAUUGAAACUGCCAGUCUUGAGGCUCUCAAGAAGGAGCUCAGCCUUAAUGUGGAGACCCUACAACUAUGGGUGUGUGAUGUCAGGCAGUGGGCAGACACUGACCAAACAUUGGAACAGGUGUGUGUGUGCAGCAGGAAAGCAGGGAGGAUUGAAACGCAGCCUGGUGCAGCCUGGUGCAUGCCACAGCAGCAGCAGCACGUCAUUUAGAGGGGGAGGGACACUACACAUUAAUUAAUAUUUGCAACAAAUGUGUCAGAAUUAGCCACAGGGCUAGUUUUCAUCCAUAGUCCACUGUCAGAAGUUGACCUAAAACUAACUGAGUUUUUAAUUAUUUUAAAGACUGCUAAAAUAAUGACAGCAUUUUUCUUUUUUUCUUUCCUUUUUAUCUCAGCAACAUGAAACUGAGGUGGCAGAAAUUAAGCUGCGGCCCCCACGGUUUGAUACACUAAUGGGAAACACUGCUGCGUCUCUGACUAGCUCUGCUAUUAUCAUAAUACCCUGUGAUUAAGGUGAUACCUUUUUAAAAGCUCAUUACCAUUGAAAGUUUCAAGAACAUUAAUCUGAUUACAAGACAGAUUACCCGCUGCAGCCAUGUUAGAAAUGUUUUUAAUUUGGUUUUAGUGACUUAGGAGUCCUACUACUCCUAACUAUACAGAUUGCAGAGCUGGUUUUAGUGCUAAGACACUUUGUGAAAUACUCUUAUCUUAAAAAUUUAGGAGUUCUAAAGGGCUGACACAGCCAUUUUUUUUAGGAGUUGCUCCUAAAUCAGUGAGUUAGGGGCUACUUUUAGCCUAAAGAUGUUCUGUGAAUACAGUCGCUGUUUACUGUGGUCAACUCUGAACCCUAACAAGGAAAGAAAACAAACUUUUUUUUCAGUCUUAGCUCAUGCCAGCCAAGACAAACUGUAAAAGGAAAUUGAAAUCUAAACUUAACACACAGCAACUAAACAAGACAUUGUAAGCAGAGAAGAAUAAUGAACUGAAGACCAAACGUAGAGAGGCAAUAAAUCAGUACAACAGCCUGGCAGCAGAAGAAAGAAAUAAUCUUCAUAAAAGACUCGAAAGAAGAGGUAACAACAUUAAUCAGUAAUAACAGAAGAGGAAAUAUCAUCUUUGGAUAUAUUUUUUAAAUUGAAACAACUAGCUAGCUGUCAACUGCUACCUGCCACUGUUACCAACCUUCCAAAGAAGAAACUGAACUAAAGAAACUGAUGGAAGAGUGAUUUAUUAAAGACAAGAGGAAAAAUUAAAGGAUUCUUGUUGUUACCAUUCUCUCUCUCUCCAUGAGCUGAUGUGAUGGCAGUGCUACCAAUGUUUGUGGUGGCCUCUCCUAGUACCGACUCUUUGUCCAUGUCUAUGUCUGUAUCAUCGUGUGGAGU